UACGGGGGGGGCAAGCGUUGUUCGGAAUUACUGGGCGUAAAGGGCUCGUAGGCGGCCAACUAAGUCAGACGUGAAAUCCCUCGGCUUAACCGGGGAACUGCGUCUGAUACUGGAUGGCUUGAAUCCGGGAGAGGGAUGCGGAAUUCCAGGUGUAGCGGUGAAAUGCGUAGACAUCAGGAGGAACACCAAUGGCGAAGGCAGCUCGCUGGAACGGUACUGACGCUGAGGCGCGAAAGCGUGGGGAGCGAACAGG
rnacentral:rRNA from 1 species